CACAUGUAAUCCCAACACUUUGGGAUGCCAAUGCAGGCGAAUUGCUUGAGCUUAGGAGUUUGAGACCAGCCUGGGCAACAUGGUGAAACCCCGUCUCUACAAAAAAUGCAAAAGUAGCCAUGGUGGCUUGUGCAUGUGGUCGCAGCUACUCGGGAGGCUAAGAAAACACGGAAAACCAUCAUCAAUCUGUGACUGCUUUACUUGUGUCUCCAGUACAUCUGUGCUUUCUCACUUUCAAGCCUUCACUUCUACAGUCACUUUCCUACACGACCCCACCUACAUCCAAAUUGAAUAAAUUAUUCAUGAAAUGAAA